rnacentral:misc_RNA from 1 species
GAUGAAGAACGCAGCGAAAUGCGAUAAGUAGUGUGAAUUGCAGAAUUCAGUGAAUCAUCGAAUCUUUGAACGCACAUUGCGCCCCUUGGUAUCCCGAGGGGCAUGCCUGUUCGAGCGUCAUUUCACCACUCAAGCCUGGCUUGGUGUUGGGCGACGUCCCCUUUGGGGACGCGCCUCGAAACGCUCGGCGGCGUGGCACCGGCUUUAAGCGUAGCAGAAUCUUUCGCUUUGGAAGUCGGGGCCCCGUCUGCCGGAAGACCUACUCGCAAGGUUGACCUCGGAUCAGGCAGGGAUAACCGCUGAACUUAAGCAUAUCAAUAAGCGGAGGA